rnacentral:rRNA from 1 species
GACGAACGCUGGCGGCGUGCUUAACACAUGCAAGUCGAACGGAAAGGCCCUGAUUUUGUGGGGUGCUCGAGAGGCGAACGGGUGAGUAAAACGUGAGUAACAUGCCCUUGACUUUGGGAUAACUUCAGGAAAAUGGGGCUAAUACCGGAUAGGAGCUCCUGCUGCAUGGUGGGGGUUGGAAAGUUUCGGCGGUUGGGGAUGGACUCGCGGCUUAUGCGCUUGUUGGUGGGGUAGUGGAUUACAAAGGCUAUGACGGGUAGCCGGCCUGAGAGGGUGACCGGCCACAUUGGUACUGAGAUACGGCCCAGACUCCUACGGGAGGCAGCAGUGGGGAAUAUUGCACAAUGGGCGGAAGCCUGAUGCAGCGACGCCGCGUGCGGGAUGACGGCCUUCGGGUUGUAAACCGCUUUCGCCUGUGACGAAGCGUGAGUGACGGUAAUGAGUAAAGAAGCACCGGCUAACUACGUG